ACAAGGAAAUUGCCCAACACCCUUAUAGAUGUCAAUGUGUUGUAAGUUUUCACUUGUGAAAGCAAUUACAUGUUCAUUCAACAGUAGAUUGAAUAGUCUGUAUAAAAACGAAAAGUAAAUUAUAUAAUUUGCAGAAUUUAUGUUGCACAACUGGCAACACAAGGGAAGCUCUUGCUUUGGUUUCAUUGUAGUUUUAGAAACUGUGGGUUGAUAUUUGAUUACUGGUUAUGCAUAUUGUAUUUGGACUCUGUCAAAGAAAACUAGGUGCCGCUACAAGUUACUGGUUCUUCCAAACACCCGCAGUUGGUACAUCAGGCACAAUAUUUAGAUUAGUAAGUCACCUCGAACUUAUUCGCAAAAUAAGAUUAAUGUUCAUACGAACCUCUUCCAACUAAUGAAUGUCUGCCUUGAAAUUUAGGUUUUCUUUCGAAAUAGAUUGUUUGCUUUUAUUGCCUGUCUUUGUCUCAUUUGACAUUCUCUUGGUUGUCUAGGUUGGUUCCAUUGCUGUGUUUGUAACGAGAUAUAGAGGUAUGAUCGGAGAUGCCAAAGAAGAUCUGCAACAAAGCACAAGUUAUUUCCACAAACCCAGUAUGAUUCUAAGUUUUCGCUACUCUAUGUUUGAGAACCUAAAACCAUAUAAGUAACUAUCAAAAAACCCGUCUCAUACAUACCACAUGCAGUUCCUAGAGUUUGAUGCAGCAGUUUACUGGUCUGUAGGUCCUGCAUGGAAGUAUGAAUCUAUGGCCAGCAAUGGCCAAAGAAUAUUCUCAGACUGAAAACCAUUUUUUACCUUACUGACAGAAAGCUGAAACCUCGAUGAACCAGUGUAAGUAUUGACAAUUGUGACAGGCUCUGAUUUAAAUUGGUUGUGGCUAUACUAUAUGCAAAGUAUAGCAAGGGGUUUGCAAGGUAGAAGUGAAUUCUAAUCGAACCAGUGAUUUACCAGAAAUAAUCGAAGGGAUAUUGUUGAUUUCCCUAGCUAUAUUCUGAUACAUCACUGACCGUUCAGAGUUCACCACCAUUUCUGUAUUGCAAUUUAGCAAAACAAUCUGUUUUCUGAUAUCUGUAGUGUAGUGAAGUUUGGAGUGAAGAUGGCCCUUUUUUUAUAUUGAAGCUCGUUGAAUCUUGACCAUUGAUUUAUGAUUAUUACACUUAAUCAUAUCCGUUAAAAAAUGGGAAACUUAAUUAAUGCUAACAUUUAUAAAAAUUCCUUAUAUGGCAUUAUGCAUAUCCACCACCUACCACUUUAGAUUAUCAUUUAGUGUUAGUGAAAUAUAAGUUGCUGUUUAUCUUUACUAAUACAAAAAAAUAUAACCGCGUUCGGUGCAUGAGUUAAUCGUAGACAAUAAAAUUAUGGAAUUAUAUUAGAUUUUUUAGAAAAUACAACUUGAACUACAUGCAGGGAGGCUCCAGUGAUAUCAUACUUGCAAGUGGAUUGCCUAUAUGCCUUAGGUUGGUGCUUCAAGCCUCCUCACACAUGAAUGAUUUCCAUAAUUAAUGUUAGACACUAUAUUGGUACCUCUCUAGUGAGUUUUGCAAGUCAUAUCUCCGUCAAGAUGCUCUUGACUCUAUGAUCCCACGCCUAC
rnacentral:lncRNA from 1 species